rnacentral:lncRNA from 1 species
GUAAAGAGGACAAGGAAAUCAGACAGCCUCAGAAAUCCCUUCAUGUCCAGUGUGGGACUGUUAAUUUUUUAUUGGUGUUAUCAGUAUUGAUGGUGUAGUUAAGGGGGAAGGCUUCAUUGCAUUCUUUGGCUUAGGCCUGAGAGUGCUUACUAGUUUGUAAGAUCAAAAUACCUAAAUCUUUGAGGUCUUUGUUUUCCUCUUAAAAUUCUUUCGGGAGAGAGAAGGGAUUGUUUCUGAGGGGUACUGAAAAGUGUGGUUGAAUACUUGACAACAUACAGGUAGGUUGUCAGCAUAAGCUGACAUCCAUGCAUGUGAGAACUUGA